ensembl:piRNA 21ur-4702 ncRNA
UUAAAGUUUAAUAUACAAUUA